rfam:Dialister micraerophilus DSM 19965 genomic scaffold SCAFFOLD1, whole genome shotgun sequence.
GGCCCGUUCGUCAAGCGGUUAAGACACCGCCCUUUCACGGCGGAGUCGGGGGUUCGAAUCCCCCACGGGUCA